rnacentral:rRNA from 1 species
UACGGAGGGUGCAAGCGUUGUCCGGAAUUAUUGGGCGUAAAGGGCUCGUAGGCGGUCCAUCGCGUGGGGAGUGAAAAGCUGGGGCUUAACCCCAGUCCUGCUUCCGAUACGGGUGGACUAGAGGUAGGUAGGGGAGAUCGGAAUUCCUGGUGUAGCGGUGAAAUGCGCAGAUAUCAGGAGGAACACCGGUGGCGAAGGCGGAUCUCUGGGCCUUACCUGACGCUGAGGCGCGAAAGCAUGGGGAGCAAACAGG